rnacentral:lncRNA from 1 species
ACGCGUUCUCCGGCAAGAGUGGUUUCAGCUGUUUUUUUGGACGUGCUAGUAGUUAACUCAUGGGAUAGAAAUACUACCGGGAGUGGUGAGAAACAAGACCUAGAAAGCUCAGAGAAAAGCAGAUGGAGAGUGGAGCUCUUGUCUGUCUUCUCGGCUCCUAACGGCAGCCCCAGAUUCGCAAUGAAGAGCCCCACGCCACAUGAAAUGUGAGCAAGUCCACCCACCUCAUCUACCCUGGCGGCCAGUUCCUCGUUGGACCAGAUCCCUUCUAUCAUAAGCUCCUCCUCAGCACAUGGUUAUUACUGGAAUGCUGGUGGUUUGGGCAACUCUUUUUCUGGUGAGAUGGUGCAGUGGGAAGGUACAUCCCACUUCCAGCGGGUUGUCCCUCGGUGCUGGCUUGGCUUCUUGGGAAAAGAGUGAAGAAUCAGAGCCUACACGCUGCUGCUGAGCUCCACAGCCUCCAUCUUGCCUCCUCCUGUUUAGACGAUGCGGGUCCUAGUUCUGGGAAGCCCUUCCACCGGAUCGCAGAGCCUCUCUGAACUUCAGGCUCCUCAUCUAUAAAAUGGACCUCCCAAGGUGGUGGUUUAGUGCUGUCAGGGACAUGUUGGCAGGAGGACCGUGUGAGCUGUUGUAUCCACAGUAGCCUGGAAAGGCCCUUCCCGCUGAGGCAUAUUGCCCAAUAAAGUAGAGGGGUGAAUUCGAAGCAAGACCUCAAGCAGGGGGUGAAGCGGACAUGAUGUAGAGAAGCUGCUGCUGAUGGCAAUGGGACCAGAAAAGGGGGGCCUAAGGAAGAGAGAACAUGAGAAGCAAAAAGGGCAGCCCCUUAACCUUCAACCUCAGAGGCUCGUGUGGGAGAAACCCAGUCAGGUCUGAGGGGAGAUCUCACAGCAAGGGGGUGGGUGGGACUUGACUCAGAUUGCAGUGGGGAGAAAUUUUAAUGACACCCCCUCCCUAGCAAACCAGCGAUGCAAGAUGGUGCCAGCACAAUAUGGUGCCAGUCAGGAGGUGGUUUGGAAUGGCUGAGGAAGGGAGUCUGGGAAGUGGCUUCAUGCAACGCUGCUCGUUCUAGUGAGAAUGCAGCCAGGUAGUCCUAGGUCCCAGGGGCCGCAGAGCCAAGAUCUGCCUCACCAGCUAUGUGCAGGGACCAUGCACUUUGGCUUCACCUCUUCCUGCCCCUACCCCACCAGCAAGCCCCAGGGACCAGAACCAUCUCUGUCCUGCGUGUGUGUGUGUGUGUGUGUGUGUGUGUGUGUGUGUAAGAAUGCAGGGGACUCCACUCAGACCUUCAACCCUCUUGUCCCACCACCGUGAGGCCCAUGAACAUCUCUCUGCACCAGGAAAUUAUCUUGGCUGGGAGAAGGCGGAAGGGUGAGAAAACCUUGGAAUACUGAGCAAUUUUACUCAAAAGAGACUGAGUUAAUCAUACAGAAAUGGAGCUAUGUCUAAGGGGCAAUUUAAUGCUUUCUUUUUGUUUGUUUUCUUUUUGCCCGUCAGUAGUAGGAAUUAUCAGAUCACGAUGAGAAGAGUAUAAGAAAAAGUAAGAACAAUACUGAUUUGACCCAUCUGGGUAGGUGUGUGUGUGUGAUCUUUAGCUCUCCCACAAUUAUGUCUGUACACGUUUGCUGGGGCAACUGUAUAUUUUCAAUUCCAAUCGUCAGACCUUUCCUUGAAGCUCACGUGUGUUUUGAUCUGGCCAGGAAUUGAGAAUCAUAAAAUCAUUAAAUCUGUAUUAAUUACCUAUUGCUGCAUAGUAAGUUAAUCCAAAAUUUAGCUGAAAUAAAUAUGUAUUAUC